rnacentral:rRNA from 1 species
CGCAGCCGCGGUAAUUCCAGCUCCAAUAGCGUAUAUUAAAGUUGUUGCAGUUAAAAAGCUCGUAGUUGAAUUUCGGGGUUAGUAGAUUGGUCAUGCCUCUGGUAUGCACUGGUCUUACUGAUUCCUCCUUCCUGAUGAACCGUAAUGCCAUUAAUUUGGUGUUGCGGGGAAACUGGACUGUUACUUUGAAAAAUUAGAGUGUUUAAAGCAGGCUAACGCUUGAAUACAUUAGCAUGGAAUAAUGAAAUAGGACGUUCGAUCUUAUUUGUUGGUUUCUAGGAUUGACGUAAUGAUUAAUAGGAUAGUUGGGGCAUUAGUAUUCAAUUGUCAGAGGUGAAAUUCUUGGAUUUAUUG